CGGUAGCUAAAUGCGGAAAAGAUAAGUGCUGAAAGCAUCUAAGCACGAAACUUGCCCCGAGAUGAGUCUUCCCUGAGACUUUGAGUCUCCUGAAGGAACGUUAAAGACGAUGACGUUGAUAGGCCGGGUGUGUAAGCGCAGCGAUGCGUUGAGCUAACCGGUACUAAUGAACCGUGAGGCUUAACCUUACAACGCCGAAG
rnacentral:rRNA from 1 species